rnacentral:rRNA from 1 species
UACAGAGGGGGCAAGCGUUUUCGGAAUUACUGGGCGUAAAGGGCGCGUAGGCGGCCUGCUAAGUCGAACGUGAAAUCCCUGGGCUCAACCCAGGAACUGCGUCCGAUACUGGUUGGCUUGAAUCCGGGAGAGGGAUGUGGAAUUCCAGGUGUAGCGGUGAAAUGCGUAGAUAUCGGAAGGAACAUCAGUGGCGAAAGCGACUUCCUGGACCAAUACUGACGCUCAUGUGCGAAAGCGUGGGGAGCAAACAGG